rnacentral:rRNA from 1 species
GGUUAAGCGACUAAGCGUACACGGUGGAUGCCCUGGCAGUCAGAGGCGAUGAAGGACGUGCUAAUCUGCGAUAAGCGUCGGUGAGGUGAUAUGAACCGUUAUAACCGGCGAUUUCCGAAUGGGGAAACCCAGUGUGUUUCGACACACUAUCAUUAACUGAAUCCAUAGGUUAAUGAGGCGAACCGGGGGAACUGAAACAUCUAAGUACCCCGAGGAAAAGAAAUCAACCGAGAUUCCCCCAGUAGCGGCGAGCGAACGGGGAGGAGCCCAGAGCCUGAAUCAGUGUGUGUGUUAGUGGAAGCGUCUGGAAAGGCGCGCGAUACAGGGUGACAGCCCCGUACACAAAAAUGCACAUAUUGUGAGCUCGAUGAGUAGGGCGGGACACGUGGUAUCCUGUCUGAAUAUGGGGGGACCAUCCUCCAAGGCUAAAUACUCCUGACUGACCGAUAGUGAACCAGUACCGUGAGGGAAAGGCGAAAAGAACCCCGGCGAGGGGAGUGAAAAAGAACCUGAAACCGUGUACGUACAAGCAGUGGGAGCCUCUUAAUGGGGUGACUGCGUACCUUUUGUAUAAUGGGUCAGCGACUUAUAUUCUGUAGCAAGGUUAACCGAAUAGGGGAGCCGAAGGGAAACCGAGUCUUAACUGGGCGUUAAGUUGCAGGGUAUAGACCCGAAACCCGGUGAUCUAGCCAUGGGCAGGUUGAAGGUUGGGUAACACUAACUGGAGGACCGAACCGACUAAUGUUGAAAAAUUAGCGGAUGACUUGUGGCUGGGGGUGAAAGGCCAAUCAAACCGGGAGAUAGCUGGUUCUCCCCGAAAGCUAUUUAGGUAGCGCCUCGUGAAUUCAUCUCCGGGGGUAGAGCACUGUUUCGGCAAGGGGGUCAUCCCGACUUACCAACCCGAUGCAAACUGCGAAUACCGGAGAAUGUUAUCACGGGAGACACACGGCGGGUGCUAACGUCCGUCGUGAAGAGGGAAACAACCCAGACCGCCAGCUAAGGUCCCAAAGUCAUGGUUAAGUGGGAAACGAUGUGGGAAGGCCCAGACAGCCAGGAUGUUGGCUUAGAAGCAGCCAUCAUUUAAAGAAAGCGUAAUAGCUCACUGGUCGAGUCGGCCUGCGCGGAAGAUGUAACGGGGCUAAACCAUGCACCGAAGCUGCGGCAGCGACACUAUGUGUUGUUGGGUAGGGGAGCGUUCUGUAAGCCUGUGAAGGUGGCCUGUGAGGGUUGCUGGAGGUAUCAGAAGUGCGAAUGCUGACAUAAGUAACGAUAAAGCGGGUGAAAAGCCCGCUCGCCGGAAGACCAAGGGUUCCUGUCCAACGUUAAUCGGGGCAGGGUGAGUCGACCUCUAAGGCGAGGCCGAAAGGCGUAGUCGAUGGGAAACAGGUUAAUAUUCCUGUACUUGGUGUUACUGCGAAGGGGGGACGGAGAAGGCUAUGUUGGCCGGGCGACGGUUGUCCCGGUUUAAGCGUGUAGGCUGGUUUUCCAGGCAAAUCCGGAAAAUCAAGGCUGAGGCGUGAUGACGAGGCACUACGGUGCUGAAGCGACAAAUGCCCUGCUUCCAGGAAAAGCCUCUAAGCAUCAGGUAACAUCAAAUCGUACCCCAAACCGACACAGGUGGUCAGGUAGAGAAUACCAAGGCGCUUGAGAGAACUCGGGUGAAGGAACUAGGCAAAAUGGUGCCGUAACUUCGGGAGAAGGCACGCUGAUAUGUAGGUGAAGCGACUUGCUCGUGGAGCUGAAAUCAGUCGAAGAUACCAGCUGGCUGCAACUGUUUAUUAAAAACACAGCACUGUGCAAACACGAAAGUGGACGUAUACGGUGUGACGCCUGCCCGGUGCCGGAAGGUUAAUUGAUGGGGUUAGCGGUAACGCGAAGCUCUUGAUCGAAGCCCCGGUAAACGGCGGCCGUAACUAUAACGGUCCUAAGGUAGCGAAAUUCCUUGUCGGGUAAGUUCCGACCUGCACGAAUGGCGUAAUGAUGGCCAGGCUGUCUCCACCCGAGACUCAGUGAAAUUGAACUCGCUGUGAAGAUGCAGUGUACCCGCGGCAAGACGGAAAGACCCCGUGAACCUUUACUAUAGCUUGACACUGAACAUUGAGCCUUGAUGUGUAGGAUAGGUGGGAGGCUUUGAAGUGUGGACGCCAGUCUGCAUGGAGCCGACCUUGAAAUACCACCCUUUAAUGUUUGAUGUUCUAACGUGGGCCCCUUACCGGGGUUGCGGACAGUGUCUGGUGGGUAGUUUGACUGGGGCGGUCUCCUCCUAAAGAGUAACGGAGGAGCACGAAGGUUGGCUAAUCCUGGUCGGACAUCAGGAGGUUAGUGCAAUGGCAUAAGCCAGCUUGACUGCGAGCGUGACGGCGCGAGCAGGUGCGAAAGCAGGUCAUAGUGAUCCGGUGGUUCUGAAUGGAAGGGCCAUCGCUCAACGGAUAAAAGGUACUCCGGGGAUAACAGGCUGAUACCGCCCAAGAGUUCAUAUCGACGGCGGUGUUUGGCACCUCGAUGUCGGCUCAUCACAUCCUGGGGCUGAAGUAGGUCCCAAGGGUAUGGCUGUUCGCCAUUUAAAGUGGUACGCGAGCUGGGUUUAGAACGUCGUGAGACAGUUCGGUCCCUAUCUGCCGUGGGCGCUGGAGAACUGAGGGGGGCUGCUCCUAGUACGAGAGGACCGGAGUGGACGCAUCACUGGUGUUCGGGUUGUCAUGCCAAUGGCACUGCCCGGUAGCUAAAUGCGGAAGAGAUAAGUGCUGAAAGCAUCUAAGCACGAAACUUGCCCCGAGAUGAGUUCUCCCUGACUCCUUGAGAGUCCUGAAGGAACGUUGAAGACGACGACGUUGAUAGGCCGGGUGUGUAAGCGCAGCGAUGCGUUGAGCUAACCGGUACUAAUGAACCGUGAGGCUUAACCUU